ensembl:lncRNA
AAAGCUGUGGUACAUAUACACAAUGGAGUAUUAUUCAGCCGUUAAAAAGAAUUCAUUUGAAUCAGUUCUGAUGAGAUGGAUGAAACUGGAGCCGAUUAUACAGAGUGAAAUCAGAUACCACCUGAAAUCCUGUGGUCAGUUCUGGAUUCCUUUGGAGAACAUUUUAGGAGUGGCAAAGUAAAUUGGACUCCACAGCGGGUAUGAGGAUGGAGAUAAGACCUUGGAUCCAUAUGGCAAAAGAGCCUCGAGAUGUUCAUCUAGAAUCAAGCCAAUCAAGAGGGAGUCAUUAUAACCACCUUUAAAUAAAGAACUGUUCUACAUAAUUAAAAUAAAUAAAUAAAUAAAAAUCUCAGGC